rfam:Nippostrongylus brasiliensis genome assembly, scaffold: NBR_scaffold0000387
CCAAUGGCCCUCUUGAGGGCCACAAUCAUGAGCAUGAACGAAUCA